rnacentral:rRNA from 1 species
UUUCGUAGGCGCCCCGCCGCAUCUCGUUUUAAAGACUAGAGCUUAACUUUAGGAAGGGACGAGAGAUGGGCGGGGUUGAAAGUUCUCGGGGUUUUCGGAACUCUCGGUGUAGGAGUGAAAUCUGUUGAUAUCGAGAGGAACACCAAGGGCGUAGGCAGGAAACUAGGGAAAUUUUGACGCUGAGGAACGACCGCUAGGGGAGCGAAAGGGAUUAGAGACCCCUGUAGUCCUAGCCGUAAACUAUGCUCGCUACCCUGUCUCGAUUUAUCGGGGCGGGGGCAAGCUAACGCGUUAAGCGAGCCGCCUGGGGAGUACGAGCGCAAGCUUAAA